rnacentral:misc_RNA from 1 species
GAUGAAGAAUGCAGCGAAAUGCGAUACUUGGUGUGAAUUGCAGAAUCCCGUGAACCAUCGAGUCUUUGAACGCAAGUUGCGCCUCAAGCCAUUAGGUUGAGGGCACGUCUGCCUGGGCGUCACAUAUCGUUGCCUGAUGCCAGUUUCCUCGUGAUGGGUGACUGUGCAGGGCGAAUGAUGGCUUCCCGUGAGCAUUGUUGCCUCAUGGUUGGUUGAAAAUUGAGUCCUUGGUAGGGAGCGCCGUGAUAGAUGGUGGUUGAGUGACGAACGAGACCCAAUCAUGUGAGACCCCUACCGAAUUUGGCCUUCAUGACCCACAUGCGUCUUUGGAACGCUCAUGACGAGACCUCAGGUCAGGCGGGGCUACCCGCUGAGUUUAAGCAUAUCAAUAAGCGGAGGA